CCUCUGUCCCAGGUCGUUACUGCAAAUGAGAACUCGUUCUCAGUUGAUUCCCUUGGAUAAAGGUGAAAUCAAGGUAGUCUCCCUGAGAUGCGCAUAUUGUAUACACACACACAUAAUUCAAAAGCCAGACAACCCCAAGAGAUUGCUUCCAGGAACUACACUCGACCACUGCAUCAGUCUGGAGAACUGCAGACUGCGCAUGCGCCCAGGUCAACGCCCACAUUGUCAGAGCACAAGUCCACUCCUCUGAUUUAGAUUUAGCAAUGCUGACUGUGAUGCUCCCAUAAAUAUGAUUAGCAUUUCUGGCGCUGUAAUUAGAAACCAAUAUUACAGCAUUAUAGAGUGUAUAAUUUUUUAUUUUUUCCUAUUUUCUCUUCUGCAGUGCCGGUGAAUUUAAAUGAUGUUUUUUUAGGCUACCACAAGGGGGCGCACUCGACCAGAGCAUCUUAUUUGCUGCAGGUCGACCUAUAGUCUGCGCUGGAUAAUUAUUUUAGCUUUAAGUGCACCUUAUUUGGUCCCAACAUGUUUUAAAAUCUUACAUCUGACUGCUUCUGUAGCGGAUAUAUCCGCAGAUUAUUGGCACGAGUGUCGCGGGGUGAUGUGUUUGCUGCAGAUGCCAUUUGAAAAUAUAGGCAGUGUAAGCACUGUAGAAUCUAAUUAUUUCUUUGCAAAACCUAAUUAGGCAUUAAAAAAGGUUAACGCCAGCGCCUGAAACGUUUUUGUUUAAUAAUCCCAUUACUGACGGCUCAUCAUGUAUAAAAUGGUGCAGGAGGACACUAAGUUUCCACUUGUUAAAGGGAAUCUCUGAGAAAUAGUCGCAGAGUUUUUUUGACACUAUCUGCGAUUGGAAAUUAGGGCUUGUAAUUAAACUGCGGGGACUCAGCACAGCGCACAGAAGCUUCCUGGAAGGCUGUGAUUGGCCGGCUGUCUGGGCAGUGAUAGCAGCCCUGGAGCCGAGGAUGAUUGAUGAUGGCGAGGGCAAGGCCGAGCGCUGGCAGCAUAAAGCCCCAUAGACGCCUCAAUAAAGAGCCUGGCUAGUGGAGAGCCUGGGCCCCGCUCAAUAGGGCCCCUCCGCCUCCGAGGACUCACGGCUAGAAGAGUGCAUGGAGAGCGAGGGAUAGAGGGAGAGGAAGGAGGAGAGGGAGAAGGAGAGGUGCUCUGUUGUUGGAUAAUCUGUUUAGCUAUCGAGCCAGCAGCCGUCAGAGUCUGGAUAAGUGCAGCGACGGAUGUGUGUGGGGUGAAAAUAGCAGGGGUUGGCUGGUGGAGUGCUGGAGGGGGAGAUACAGGGAGGGAGAAGGAGGGAGGGAGAGAUGGAUCAUCCAGUCUCAGGAUGCAUAAUGGGAAAAGGGGAAGCGGAUGAGCAGCGCUGGAAAUGAGAUCCGCGGGCUGCUUUUCACACAAAUGAUCAAGAGCCCAAAAAAAAAGAGAGAAAGAAAAAGAAAAAGAAAAAUUGAGCAUGAGAAAGUGAUCAGAGCCUAAAACCUCUCUGCUCCUGCUGCUGCUGCUACUCUGGUGGCCAUCAUUCAUCCUACAGAUGCAUAGCUGUGGUGACCUUUGCUUCUGCGGAUCAAUGAGACCCUGCUAGGUUGGAUUCCUUCGGUGCCGCCGCAUCCACUUGCCGUGGCCCCAGACCACAUGCAGCCCUGUUGUAACCCCCAGCUCACAGCAGCUCUGAAAAGCACAAUUAGACAGCAAUCUGCUCCUACCAAGCCAGCUUUCAGUGACUCCAGCGUGGCUACACGGUGUCCUGCAGACCCUCCUGGCUGGAGUUGGCAGGACGGAGGUCUGGGAGAGUCGACUGAUGACUGUCCUCCCUCUGCAGGGUCUGGAGAGGUGAAAGACGAGGGGAAAUGUUUUUUUCUGAAAUAAUAAAAGCAAGCUGGGUGAAGACGACCAAAUGCAUUACAAUACUUUGCACACAUGCUUUCCUGUGUAAUUCAGACUUUUAUAUUUGUAUUUUAACAAAAUGUUUAACAAAAGUUCUCAGUCAUCCAGGUCGUGGUAAAUGGAGGCAACUGGAGUUUGAGAAGUUUCUAAAACUCUACAAAUCUCUUUAAAAUGUCGUUUCUUUUGUGGUAUCCUGUGUCAGACCUGUUGUUAAUGCGAUUCCUGCAAAUAAAUCUGAGUUUAUGCAAAACAAA